rnacentral:tRNA from 2 species
UCCGAUAUGGUGUAACGGUCAACAUCCGUCGCUUUCACCGACGAGCUCGGGGUUCGAUUCCCCGUAUCGGAG